rnacentral:misc_RNA from 1 species
GGGAGAAAAGAGCUUCAGGCCUAUUACAAUGUCAUAGACUUCACUAAAACAGGAAAAGACCCAAAACUAACUUAACUUAGCUCAACAUACUAAUUCUUACAAUAAAAGCAUAAAGCUAGAUAACCGUGGCCUGAAUGUAUAAACGGUCCCUAAUAGGCUGUCCAGGCCAGAACCAAAAAUAAGAAUGAGGCCCAAUAAUUUUAAAGCCCUAAACUUUGGCUUGACCUGAAGAGAGGAUCUAGAUGUGGAGGGAGAACAACCUCCCACCCUAACAGUUGAACCCUGUCUAAGCCACCCCAGAGCAGGUGAUAGAUAAUUGGAGUUGGAGAAGCCCAAAGGAAUCACCCGAAGCCCAAAGGAAUCACCCAAAUUCAAUGAUUCCAAACAGAUAACCGCUCUCGAAAGAUGAGUAACCUAAAAGAAACCUUUAGCAUCAAAGAAGCAAACACAAAGCUAAGGUGAAAGGCAAGAUCCAAAGCCAAGGGGACCAUAUGGGUGCGAGUCAGAGCUCUUUUGCACCUCUUGCCUUUGAGAGACUGGAUGCUUAGAGAGUGGCACCUGUAACGUCUCCAAGAGUUAUCACACAGACUAAAAGAAUGAGACCCGUUGAUCGACAACAACUCUUGGCUUUAAGUUAGAGAACAAAUGUCGCUUACCCAUCAACAAAAACAUGGCCACAGAAGGAAAAGCACUACUGCUGCUAAGCUUGAGAACCAAGCCAUUGCAGAUUUCAUUUAAACCCCCAAAAUCAACCCCAAACUUGCAAGCAAACAAAACCAACCCAAAAAUAUCUAUAACCCUCAGAGAAGAAAGGGGAAACCCACACCGAGCUAGGGAAGAAAAGCUGUCCUUCGCCCGGAGGGAUAGGAGACAGUUGAUGUAGCUCGACAGAAAAAGAGACUUAGUUUCUAAGAGUAUAAAAGUUAAAAAAGAGAAAAUUUCUCUUUUUGCUCAACCCUUGAAAAGCGAAAUGUA